CGGUCCAGACUCCUACGGGAGGCAGCAGUAGGGAAUCUUCCGCAAUGGGCGAAAGCCUGACGGAGCAAUGCCGCGUCGAGUGAAGAAGGCCUUCGGGUCGUAAAACUCUGUUAUAGAGAAGAACAAAUUGUAAGUAACUGCUACAGUCUGACGGUAUCUUAUCAAAAGCCACGGCUAACUACGUGCCAGCAGCCGCGUAA
rnacentral:rRNA from 1 species